rnacentral:rRNA from 1 species
UCUGGUUGAUCCUGCCAGUAAUCAUAUGCUUGUCUCAAAGAUUAAGCCAUGCAUGUCUAAGUACAUGCCGAAAUAAGGCGAAACCGCGAAUGGCUCAUUAAAUCAGUUAUGGUUCCUUAGAUCGGUUCUUCCUACUUGGAUAACUGUGGCAAUUCUAGAGCUAAUACAUGCAGUGAGCCUGGAGCCCUUUGGGUAACGGGUGCUUUUAUUAGACCAAGAUCGAUCGGGUUUCGGCCCGUAUUGUGUGGUGACUCUGGAUAACUUUGUGCUGAUCGCAUGGCCACGAGCCGGCGACGUUUCUUUCAAGUGUCUGCCUUAUCAACUUUCGAUGGUAGGUUACUUGCUUACCAUGGUUGUUACGGGUAACGGAGAAUCAGGGUUCGAUUCCGGAGAAGGAGCCUGAGA